AGAACGAACGCUGGCGGCAGGCUUAACACAUGCAAGUCGAACGCUCGUAGCAAUACGGGAGUGGCAGACGGGUGAGUAACGCGUGGGAACAUACCCUCCGGUUCGGAAUAGCUCAGGGAAACUUGGAUUAAUACCGGAUACGGCUGAGAGGCGAAAGAUUUAUCGCCGGAGGAUUGGCCCGCGUUCGAUUAGCUUGUUGGUGAGGUAACGGCUCACCAAAGCGAUGAUCGAUAGCUGGUCUGAGAGGAUGAUCAGCCACAUUGGGACUGAGACACGGCCCAAACUCCUACGGGAGGCAGCAGUGGGGAAUAUUGGACAAUGGGCGCAAGCCUGAUCCAGCCAUGCCGCGUGAGUGAUGACGGCCUUAGGGUUGUAAAGCUCUUUCGCUCGGGACGAUAAUGACGGUACCGAGAUAAGAAGCCCGGCUAACUUCGCGCCAGCAGCCGC
rnacentral:rRNA from 1 species